UGACGUGCGCUUCCCCUGUGUAUGAGGGGCGGUUAGUGCCACAGUGGGCGGCUGACGGGGAGAAUGAUUGGCAGCUGAGACUGACUUGCGAUUGGUUGAUGUGGAGAUAUAUAUAUAUACAUAUAUAUAUAUAUAUAUAACAUAUAUACAUAUAUAUGUAUAUAUAUAACAUAUAUAUAUAUACAUAUAUAUAUAUCUAUCUCAACUGGACCUUGAUAGAUGCAGAUCCUACUCACCGUCACUACAGGGCAGACUCUGGCUCCGAAUGACUUUGAACGCCCAAGAUGGUGGCAUCCCGUAUCUGGAAUAUUUGGGCUUCCUCUUUUUGUACGAUGGGACGGAGUUGAGACGCGUCGUUCAUCUUUACACACAGUCUAUGGCUUGCUUGCCUUUCAUGCCACAGGAGAAACAUUGACCAAAAAAAAAAUGCUCAAUGAAAGCUACAGUGUGUAAUAUUUAGAAGAAUUUAUUCACAGAAAUUCUAUAUAUUGUCCAUAACUUUGUAUAAUUGCCUGCAACAAAGAAGCAAUGUUUUUUCGUCAACUUUUGAAUGUGUUAAAUAUAGUUACAUGAGUUGGAUCCGACCUCCGCGUAAGUCGCCAUGUUUGCUGCGUCGUGUUCAAUACGUCGCAUCUGCGUUGAAUUUUUCAGCGCUGCCAGAAACUGGGAAAAUGAAAUCAGCGGUGCGCCACCAUAACGUGUCCCCUGUUGGUUGCUCAGUUGUUUGCGGUUUGCAACUUUACCAACCUGAUAAAUUAAGUAAGGUUUAUAUUUAUAAAAAAAGGAAACUGGUAUGUGUCUGAAUCAAUGUAGGGAAGAGCUUCAUUGUUUUCAUUUAGGUUUUCUCAACAAAAAAAAAUCUGCCCAGCCUUAUUGUGUUAAUGUGAACAUAGGAUAUGUCCCUUGUGCAUAGUGUCAAAUGAGUGGCAUGCACUGAGGCAGCUGAUUGACUUUGGUACACGAAUGAAGGAAUUAGUUUUAUUUUUCUAUUUCAUACUUAUCUUUAUUAGCCCAUGAAGGUUGACUUGCAAGCCCAUUAUCAUUAGAUAACAUAGCAUUCCAAACAUAUUUCCCCAUCAUGUCCACACAUUGGUUAAUUUCCCCCCCCCCCAAAAAAUAGCUCACAUUAUUAUAUUUUCACAAUGCUGUCUUCUAAGCUGUUUGUCUCUUCGAAUUGCAGCAGCAGUGUCAAGAGAAUAGCAACUUUUUUUCUUAAGAUAAAUCUGUGGCGUUGAUCACCCCUCUUACUCGCAGGUACGCUAAGGGCAGCCAGGGCGUGUUUGAACCUGAACGCAUCAGACCAAACCCAAAAAGCUGUGACAGACAGAUUCCCCGCUCACCUCAGAUGAGAAUUCCUCCAGAGGAAUGCAGUUCCUCAGCCAGCAGCACGUGUCACAGGAACCAAACAGCUUUACCCAAAACCUUCUAGCGUAAGGAAAAAUGGCAUGUGGCACAGCACAAAAACAAUAAAUGAAAAGUAAAAACAAAAAAUUAAUGACGAACAGUAGUUGGCAUUCAACCCUGCGACAGAACACUGGUUAGACAGAACAUUGGAACCGACUCAAAAGUCUACGUCUCAGUAAAAAGUGUCCCUGCUGACUGAGCACACAAAAGGACUUUUACACAACAUACUGUAGUUAUCGCCUGAUGUAUUUCAGAUGGACUGAGUUCUGCCACCUCAGUGAAGUUCUGUCUACUGUAGGGUUAUUGACUUCUUCAGUUCCACAUGAAAGACAGACAUACAAGUCCUGAACCCCCCCUAAUUACAUCCACUCAGUCUCCUUAACUUCAAGACACAUUUCCAGCUGUCUAUCAAUCCCUCCCUGUCAAUAUGCAGGAACUCACCUCGCUCAGUAAGGCCUGUUGGCGUCCUUGGGCCUCUUCAGCUGCACCUUCAGUCUCUUCAUGCCGAUCUGGAAGCCGUUCAUGGCCUGGAUGGCAGUCUGGGCACUGGACGGGUUGUCAAAACUCACAAAACCUGAGGAGGAAAAGAUUGAAUGAAAGAAGCAAAUACAAACAUCCGUGCGGCGGCAACGGCAGCAGAAAGCAAAUCAAUGUAAAAUUACGUGUAUGGGUGAAAAUGUGUCUUUUAUCACAAAACACACUGUGACAGUAAUCAUCACAGACACGACCAUGUCUGUUGCCACCACUGCGACUCACCGAAGCAUUUGCUCUGAUUGGUGGCGCGGUCAACAAACACCUUCGCGGAGAUGACGUUUCCAAAGGGCAGGAACAUCUGCAGUAUCUCGGAGUCGGUGAACUCCUGUGGCAGGUGGUAGAUGAAGAUGUUACAGCCCUCGGGUCCUGUACGCAAAGACGGGAGCGAGACAAGGACACGGGAAGGACAUGACAUGACAAGACAAGACGAAACAAGACAGAGCUGGUUAGGAGAUUAGUUAAAACUGCUAAUGAUUAGACACUUGGAAAAUUGAGUUGCAACAAAAAAAGAGAAGAGAAGGGGAAGACAUCAAAUCAAAUAUUAAAAGCAGAUUAA